CUUGGGUUCACCACCCUUCUCCCUGCUCCGAGACAGGUGGCAGGUGCUGGCAGAGCACAUUUAAUUACCCUCAUGCUCUCAGGAACACCUCGUCCCUGCGGCUGGGAGAAUGAAAGCAUCACUCACAACCCAUGAGGAAGUCAACCCAUCCGACAGUCAGGAGGGUGCCAGGCGGGCGACGGUCCCAUGUGCCAAAGGGAGGGGCAGAACUGGUUACGGCUGCACCCAGGGCAAGUUCCAAGAAGCUCUCUGCUGACUGAGUGGAGAUCCGCCUGGACAGCCCCUCACCAGGACAUCCCCACCCAGGGCUCCCCGGAACUGGCUCACCACCUCAGUUAUAGAGCCUGCAGGCUAGAGCAGACCUGGGGCUUCUUGGCAAGAGCUUCUUUGCACUUUCCCAAAGAUAUGAGCAAACCAGCUUCAAGGCAUUAAAUCACAAUGGACAGCGUCACACGGUUGGCCAGAAAGGGAGCCACAGUCUCCUGCUGCCUGGCCUCACACACAACUUAAGGCAGGCCCUGGUGACCCAGAGAGGCCCUCGGGUCCUAACCCUGAGCAGGCACAGGUGAUUUACAAGACAGACCAUUGCAUCAUGUGCUCGGACCUGUUCAUUCUUGAUGUCAACCCUCCUAACAAGCUGGAGCAUGUCUGACAGCUGAGCCCAAAGCACAAGAAAAGCUACAAGUAGGAAAAGAUGUCUAGUGUGCUGUAGUCGACACUGCUGACCACAUGUGGCCAGGGACAAACCACUGGAUGCAGACCUGGGCCCUCAGAGACUGUGGCUCGGUCCCAUUUCAUUUCAUGUCUAAUGGCCCUAAUUCGAGAGAAGCUCUGUUAUGUUCAGCGUAAGCUGCUAUGAAAGCAAGAAAGCAAGACUAAUACAUUCCAAAAGGGGGUUAUGCAAAAUGUUUAAAAUCUGGAUCUUUCCUUCUCUGACAUCCAAAAACCCUGGUCACCCAGGAAGUCUCAUCUUCAAGGGUACUGAAUGGCUGACAUUUGCCUGUGCUGCGGUCACUUCAAAAGGCCCUGAGGUUCAGGCACUGGCUCCACCUCAGAAACCAGGCCCAAGAAAUCAGUGAGAAAACUGAGGGACAAGAGUGUUAUCACCCACCAAAGCAAGUUCUGACAUAAACUCCCAGGGCAGGGCUUCUGAAACAAGGGUUAUCAGUUCCUGUGUGGAUUGUCUUGACCAUAAACAGCUUCCCAGAUAAAAUCAAGCUACAGUAUACACCAGUAUACAGUAUACACCAGGAAGAUGUA